AUGCCGCCCAUGCUCCUGGGCCGCACAUCCACUCCGGCUCCGGCUCCUGCUCUGCAUCGCCACCGUGGCCGCAGUGGCGUCGGGCGUGGACGGGCACACGCGUGGCGUGCGGCCCAGGAGGGUGGCGGGCCGGCCGUUCACGGAGAACGCGACGCGGGCGGAGGAACUGGAGCGGAUGUUCAUGCGGUGGGUGCGGUGCGUGGGCGGCCUCAAGCACAGCACGUUCCAACACGCGCCGCUCGCGCGCGCCUUCCCGUCCUACUCGCUCGUCGUCGACAAGGACCCUGCGGCCGGCGGCUUCACGUCCGUCCAGGCCGCCGUCGACUCGCUCCCGACCAUCAACCUCGUCCCCGUCGUCAUCAAGGUCAACGCCGGCACCUACACGGAGAAGAUGACAAUAUCGUCCAUGCGCGCGUUCAUCACCCUGGAGGGCGCUGGCGCCGACAAGACGAUUGUGUAGUGGGACGACACGGCGGACACGCCCGCCGGGCCGAUGGGGCGCCCGCUCGGCACGUACGGCUCGGCGUCGUUCGCCGUGACAUCCCCAGGAACAUCACCUUCAAGAUGGCUGAGCUGGAUCUCAAUGAAUUCCCUGAUGACUUCGAUGAUUGUGAUGGAGGCCCGCUGUACUGUACACAAGUCCCAGAUGGAAAAAUGCCUAUUUCUAUCGAGGGGGUAGGCGAGUCGCCAGAUUUGCGUUCUGCUCCUGUCCAAGAUGUCCUCAGUGUGGAGUUCCGUGUUGCAGCUGCUGCUGCUAUUAGUGCGUCUGAUGCAACGGCAACUGAAACUGUCGCGCCCGCCCCUGCCGUGUUCAGCAGGGCUUUAACUCUGCCAAGCCAUGGUGGGCAAGUUCAUACAGGUGGCGCUGGCUUGUUUGGUUUUGUUGUGAACGAGGUGCGAUCUAGCCCACAGGAACCUUAUGUUGGCAUGGAGUUUGACACGCUUGCAGGUGCUAAGACGCGCUACAAUGCCUACGCUCUGAAAAUUGGGUUCUCAAUGAAAGCCAGCACGUCAAGGAGGUCUGCCUGCACUAAUGUGCUUGAGAAACAGACCUUUUGUUGCAACAAGUCUGGGAAGCCUAAAAUCAAAAUGAUGAUGUCUACACCCCUAUGCUUAAAAAACUAA
rnacentral:rRNA from 1 species